rnacentral:rRNA from 1 species
GUAGCGAGAAUUAUGUGAGAAUCAUAAUGGCCGAAAAUCUAAGGUUUCUUGGGGAAGGUUCGUCCGCCCAAGGUUAGUCGGGAGCUAAGCUCAGGCCGAAAGGCGUAGGCGAUGCACAUACGGUAGAAAUUCCGUAACCACCGAACAUUUAAGCUAGAGGGACGCUUUCAUUAAGUCUAUCCCGGGCGAUGGUUGCCCCGGGCGUAAGGGACCGAAAUUUAGUAGGGAAGUAGACGGCGUGAGAGACGAGAAAAGCUCUAGUGUAUACUAAGGUGCCCGUACCGCAAACCGACACAGGUAGAUGGGAUGAGUAUUCUAAGGCCAACGGGAGAAGGGUUGUUAAGGAACUCGGCAAAUUGGCCCCGUAACUUCGGGAUAAGGGGCGCCUGCGAGAGCAGGCCGCAGUGAAAAGGCCCAAGCGACUGUUUAGCAAAAACACAGCUCUCUGCUAAAUCGAAAGAUGACGUAUAGGGGGUGACGCCUGCCCGGUGCUGGAAGGUUAAGGGGAGUGCUUAGCGCAAGCGAAGGUGCGAACUUAAGCCCCAGUAAACGGCGGCCGUAACUAUAACGGUCCUAAGGUAGCGAAAUUCCUUGUCAGGUAAGUUCUGACCCGCACGAAUGGCGUAACGAUUUGGGCACUGUCUCAACAGCCCGCCCGGCGAAAUUGUAGUACCGGUGAAGAUGCCGGUUUCCCGCAACUAGACGGAAAGACCCCAUGGAGCUUCACUGUAGCUUGAUAUUGGAUCUCGGUAUUCCAUGUACAGGAUAGGUGGGAGGCUAGGAAGCGAGCGCGCCAGCGUUCGUGGAGCCAACCUUGGGAUACCACUCUUGGGAUAUUGGGAUUCUAACCUGCGACCAUGAAUCUGGUCGGGGGACACUGUCAGGUGGGCAGUUUGACUGGGGCGGUCGCCUCCAAAAGAGUAACGGAGGCGCUCAAAGGUUCGUUCAGCACGGAUGGAAAUCGUGCACUGAGUGUAAACGCAUAAACGAGCCUAACUGCGAGAAUGACGGUUCGAGCAGUAACGAAAGUUGGAGUUAGUGAUCCGGCGGUAUGUGAAUGGAAAUGCCGUCGCUCAACGGAUAAAAGCUACCCUGGGGAUAACAGGCUGAUCUCCCCCAAGAGUCCACAUCGACGGGGAGGUUUGGCACCUCGAUGUCGGCUCAUCGCAUCCUGGGGCUGAAUUCGGUCCCAAGGGUUUGGCUGUUCGCCAAUUAAAGCGGUACGCGAGCUGGGUUCAGAACGUCGUGAGACAGUUCGGUCCCUAUCUGUUGCGGGCGCAGGAAUAUUGAGAGGAGCUGUCCUUAGUACGAGAGGACCGGGAUGGACGUACCGCUGGUGCACCAGUUGUUCUGCCAAGGGCAUAGC